rnacentral:rRNA from 1 species
CCUACGGGAGGCUGCAGUGGGGAAUAUUGGGCAAUGCGCGCAAGCCUGACCCAGCAACGCCGCGUGAAGGAAGAAGGCCCUCGGGUUGUAAACUUCUUUUAUCAGGGACGAAGCAAGUGACGGUACCUGAUGAAUAAGCCACGGCUAACUACGUGCCAGCAGCCGCGGUAAUACGUAGGUGGCAAGCGUUAUCCGGAUUUACUGGGAGUAAAGGGCGUGUAGGCGGGAAAGCAAGUCAGAUGUGAAAACCAUGGGCUCAACCUGUGGCCUGCAUGUGAAACUGUUAUUCUUGAGUACUAGAGAGGCUGACAGAAUUCCUAGUGUAGCGGUGAAAUGCGUAGAUAUUAGGAGGAACACCAGUGGCGAAGGCGGUCUGCUGGACAGCAACUGACGCUGAGGCGCGAAAGCGUGGGGAGCAAACAGGAUUAGAUACCCCUGUAGUC